GACAUUUUGAUUUUGCUUGCAAAAUCUCGUGCUGACGAGCGGCGAACGGGUGAGUAACGCGUAGGAAUCUACCUAGUAGAAGGGGAUAGCCCGAGGAAACUCGGAUUAAUACCGUAUACGUCCUUAGGGAGAAAGAGGGCUUAGCUUUGAUGCUCUCGCUAUUAGAUGAGCCUGCGUAAGAUUAGCUUGUUGGUGAGGUAAAGGCUCACCAAGGAGACUAUCUUUAGCUGGUCUGAGAGGACGAUCAGCCACAUUGGGACUGAGACACGGCCCACACUCCUACGGGAGGCAGCAGUGGGGAAUAUUGGACAAUGGGCGCAAGCCUGAUCCAGCCAUACCGCGUGUGUGAAGAAGGCCUUCGGGUUGUAAAGCACUUUAAGUAAGGAAGAAAAGAAUAUUGUUAAUACCAAUACUCCGUGACAUUACUUACAGAAUAAGGACCGGCUAAUUCCGUGCCAGCAGCCGCGGUAAUACGGAAGGUCCAAGCGUUAAUCGGAAUUACUGGGCGUAAAGCGCGCGUAGGUGGUUUAUUAAGUUGGGUGUGAAAGCCCCGGGCUCCACCUGGGAACUGCAUCCAAAACUGAUUCACUAGAGUACGAAAGAGGAAAGUAGAAUUCACAGUGUAGCGGUGGAAUGCGUAGAUAUUGUGAGGAAUACCGAUGGCGAAGGCAGCUUUCUGGUUCUGUACUGACACUGAGGUGCGAAAGCGUGGGUAGCGAACAGGAUUAGAUACCCUGGUACUCCACGCCCGUAAACGAUGACAACUAGCUGUUGG
rnacentral:rRNA from 1 species